UUCGCCAUGCACAAAAGCUGGGGGAGUAACUUUCAACCUAAAGGCGGUUCGGGUCGCUCCCCAGCUCCCCAGCUCCCCAGCUCCCCAGAGGGUGUAGAAUCUGCGGCCCCGGUGCCGGCACUGGAUCCCUAGAUCCCUAGCUGGGGCUCGCUGCGCAGCUCUCGCAGCUGAGUGCGGUAGAGGCGCGCUAACAAGGCGUGGAGCUCCAUUGCGGGGUCCUCCGGCCGACCUCGGAACCUCAGGGUUAGGGUUAGGGUCCUAUGUGAGCAUUUAAAGACGUGGACUUUCACAUAGAAAUAUUUUUCCUUAUCUCGAAGUAGGCUAGGUGACAGAACCCACAUUAUCGAAAGACAGGCACCCCCUUUAGAACGGCAAGCAUUUCGCCAGAGGGCACAGGAAGACAAUGCAGAAGGAAAAUGGUUUCUCCUUUGUGGCUUCUACAGCAGGCGCAACUUGUCCACCCUGGCUCUGCAGUACACACAGCUUCCUGGGCAUCCAACCGCUGCACGACGUCUCACCGUGGUGCCCAGCAUGGCUCACACUGAACUCCUGAGCUCAACGAAUCCUCUUGCUCCUGCAGUUCAAGCAGCUGGGAUUAACUUUCCCUGUUAAAGUAUUGUGUGAUUUCUCUCA